rnacentral:rRNA from 1 species
AGGACGAACGCUGGCGGCGUGCUUAACACAUGCAAGUCGAACGGAAAGGCCCGCUUGCGGGUACUCGAGUGGCGAACGGGUGAGUAACACGUGGGCAACCUGCCCCUGGCUCUGGGAUAACUCUUCGAAAGGGGAGCUAAUACCGGAUGAUGACCUUCCUUCGCAUGUUGGUUGGUUUAAAGUUUUUUCGGCUAGGGAUGGGCCCGCGGCCUAUCAGCUUGUUGGUGGGGUAAUGGCCUACCAAGGCGACGACGGGUA